rnacentral:lncRNA from 1 species
CAUCCAUCGCAUCGCAUGCAAACUUUCCAACAUCCACAGUCCCCUUCUCUCUCUCUCUCUCUCUCUCUCUCUCUCUCUCUCUCUCUCUCUAUGUUUCCGGUCAAAAGCUGAGAGAAGAACAAUGACCGACGUUAGCAUUCGACGACUCUCCCUCGCAGUCUCCAGUUUCUUCAUCAUCGUACGAGUCAAAACGACCGCAUUAGGCGGGCCAGAAGCAGGCGGAGUCACCAGUCUGCAAAGACCGCGAUCUCCAGCCGGAGAAAGACGGUGGUCGCCGGCGGAGCACGGCCAGGGGUGGCGGCGGACCCCGGCGGCGCU